AUGGAGUGUGCGGGGCGUUGUCAUGGCGACGGGAGUGGCCGCGCUGGUCACGUGGCGGGAGCGGCGUUGCCAUGGGGACGGCAGCGCCGGGGAUGGGGUCGGGGCUGGUCGCGGCCUGGUCGCGGCCUGGUCGCGGGGUGGCGGGGGGCUCGGCCCGGUGCCCGCUGCCCUGCGGGUGGCUCCUCCGGCAGGGAAUAAACCCCGUAAAUAAGUGCAAGAAAUAAUAAUAAAAUUGCUGCUGCCCAAAGCAGAAGUGAAUUGAAUUUGUGUAUGAUUCUUAAACGUACUUGCCCAAACUCUGGCACCGUAUGGAAGAGAGUAGAUCUGAAUCUCUUAGGCUAUCUAGGCAACAUUUACCACUCCAUUUUAACAAACGCUUUAAUGGCCACAGAAAAGGAGGAAGCUGAUAAAAGAUUUGUGAAGAUCGGUGCUGGUAUCUUGUGUUAGCAGUGGCUGGCAUCACUAAGAGCACCGGGGUUAGGAAACUACAAAUAAUUGCCUGAAAUCUGAGACACAGAUUUACAUUCAGCGUAAGGGAAGCUUUCUAGGGAACACCAACAAUAUUUGAACUUUCAGACCUCAGCGUCCAUCGCUGCUCCUGAUGGCGUUUGUAGAAAGAAACAGACUGACGGAUCUGCCUGUUUGACUGGCGACAUUCAGUGGAACGUAGGUAACGCGCCCGACUCAACUUCAGCGUCUGGAUUGAAGGAGGGUUCUUCAGUCACGCUGAUCUCCAGCUAUAAAAGUAACUGUUAUGGCUCAGUCUUGCCAGGCUCAAGAAAAAAAAAUCUAUCACUUCGAGUGCAUUCAGUUAAUACGCUGAAUAUUGACUCGCUGCUUACUCAUGUGCUCAACGUUUAAAUUACACUUUCUCAUUUUUGAAACAUAAGUAAUGAUUUAAUCCUCACAGGCUGAUGAAGUCAGUUGGCAUCAUUUUCCUUUACUAGCGGAAGACAAGAGUGUACGAAAAAGUACUAUCUUUUAUUGGAUGUCAUUAUUGAUUUCAGAUUGAUUUCAAGGAAGGGGUGCUGUAAAUUCGCACUGAGCUAAUUAAUGAAAACAUACCAAAAGUAAUGGAGGAACUGAUUGUAAUCCCAGAUGACUGAGCACAGAAGAGAAUGCUUUACAGUUAAGUUACCAAUGCUUUGCUGUCCUGAAAGAAGUUUGAAGGGAAUUUGAAUUUACCAAUAUGGGAUGGUAGCACUUGGACACAGGAGCUGAAAAUAACCUUGGCAGUGAGGUAUACUGAUCCUAAGGUUUUCACAGAGUUCCCUGACAGCAUUUCUCUUGAGACUGCAUAAAGGACAAGACUGUAUAUUCCAGUUUAUUGAAAGAAGGGGUUCAUCUUUUUCAAAGUUAUUCAGCCUGAAAGUCCCAGCUGCAAAUAUUGUUCAUGCAUUGUUAUUUGAAGAAAAGUUUCAGCGAGACGCACAGCAAACUUUUCUAACUGAGAACAAGAAAUGUAGAGUGAGUCUUUCCUGAUGGGGCAUCACAAGGUGCAAGGAGACAAGGGAAGGAAAGAAGCUGAAGGAGGGAGCAAUACCCUCAAGAUCUGCUUUUGGAUAACUUGGAGUUUACAACUGUGUAGUUGCCAGUUUGAUAAGACGUGUUUACUAUGACUGUGUUACUUUACAGAAGGUAGUGACUUUCUACAAAAUUCAUCAUUUAUGUAUCCUAAAGUACCUCCGGACAUGAAUAACCCCUGUAUUACAACAGAGACAUUCUGGAACAGAAACUACUUUUUUGAACAUUUGGUGGAGAGCACUGCCAUGAUUUGUACAGAAUUCCCAUCGCAGGGGUGGCUUGACACAGCAGAAGCACUUUUAACUUCGGGAUAUUACUGUCAACACCUGACUGCCAAAUCUAAGGCCCCCAGGUGAUGACCACUGCCCGGGACACAGGCUUCAGUGGUCUCAUUCCACGCUGCUCCUCAGAAAUGGACAUAAUCGGAGAAAGCCAGCACCAGAACUGAUCUCUUGCAUUGCAUGAUGACCUAGAACAAAGCUCAAGAUGUUGUGUGACCUCAAGAAAGAUCAGAAGCUCUGCAGCAAGGGCAUAAAAGAGGAUGCUUGUCUCCCUGCCUUCCUCUUUGAGCAAAACGGCACUGCUAAGCACUUCCUGGUGAGCCUGCAAGCUACCUAGAGACAUAGGCAGCCUAGACCUUUGCAGGUCCACAAGUGCGUUGGACUACUGUGUAAAUUGUUGCAUGUCCACUUUCUUCAGGCAGUGCAGUGAGGAGUCCGGUUUCUGCACCAACUUGUUGGACUUCUUUGCCCAAAGCCACAAUCCUCAUGAUUUUUAGGUCAGGAACAAGAGCUUUUUUUUCUUGGAGGUAUAAUUUUGCUUGUCUCCUUUGUUUGCUUAAGUGAACAUAGUUUGGAAAUGUAGUGCAUUUGGACAGACACUUGAAUUCAUACAGUCACUCCUAAAAUGCAGCUUACAUUUUCCAGAUGGCUUAAUAACAAAGCUGAUGUAAUAUUCUUUGCACAUACAUAAAAGUAUUAAAGGAUCUCACCAGCUCACGUGCCUAGGUGAGGUAGUCCUGAACUACCAAACUCAAGGCUAGUUUAGAUCUGUACACAAAUGGAUGAAGGUACCAGGAGCAAUGCUGCUUUUUGUUGAAGAAGACCAUGCACUGUACUCCUAAGCACUACAGAACUCUGUAAAAGCUGUUUACUUCAGCUUCUGGUGUCCUGAAUUUGCUGAAGGAGGGCAUGGCUUUUGUCCUUCUCUACCUACAAGUCAAAAUGCUUGAAGAGAAGACGAAAAAUGCUCCCUUCAGGCAGGAAUGUGGAGGUUGCAAUUUAUCGUUCUGGACUUGAAAGAGUAAUUUUCAGUUCCAACUUGUUUGAAGAGGAAUGGGCUGGUGAAAGAAUUUAAGGGCACUUCUGAAAUGCAAAAUGUUGCCUGUCUAUGGAAUGGCCCAGAAAUGAAACAUCCGUGAGGAUCUAUGGCUCAGAUAUUCCACACUGCCUGGACAGAAUAAUGAAACACUUCUCCUGAGAUUUAUGAGCUUGGAAAAUAGACUGCAGACUUCCAGCAAGGCCUGAAAAUACUACAGACUAUAUAGUUGGAGUCUCUUUUCGCAUAAACACUACAGGGUGAGAGUAUUGGGAAGGAAUCAGAGAUGAAGUGUAAAUGCAAACACAGAAAAAAAUAUAUUCUUUACUGUCAUGAGACUCUCAAGCUGCAAUUGUGAAAGAGAUUUUGUCUUUCUAGUGUAAAUUCCCUGUUCCUUGUUUUGUUUUCCUAACUAGAUACUGCAUCCAACUUCCUACCAUUGCGCUGCGAGGUGAGGUGCAGGGGGGGAAGCGUGAAUUCGGGUGGGAGCUUCUCUCUGUAGCAAACGUGCAGGCAGCAGAGAUGGUGAGUUCAGGUUCCUUCACCUUCCUCCGCGAAGGCCAGGGACUGGCAGGCACAUGCUGUGAACGCUGUUUCGUCGCAUACUGUGAAUGCUGAUCUGUCCCCUCCUGGCGAGUAAAGGAGGAGCAAGGCAGUGACUCGCCCAUUUGAAAAUAAUGCCGUUUCCUAUGAGAGAGUGGAAAUGAUCAAAUCCUAGAAAACAGGAACUUGAGGUUAGCCAGACCAUCGCAGCCCCACCGCCGUGUCAGCUCUAGGAGGUGUCUGACGUUGCUUCUCUGUCCUGUUCCUGAAAAACUGCAGCGAUUGGGAUUCCCAGUCCCGGUUUGCAUGGGCUGCACAGUUCAAUUUUUUUCCUUGUCUCUAGUGCCAAUCUCUCUUGCUGCGAGUGUUUUCUAUCAAAUGUCUGUCAUAAAGUGUGAGGUAGGUAAUCUGGCUUCGCAGUCACAUCUGCUGAUGGUAUUGUUGGUAUUAUUAUUUUAUCAUCACUGUGCUUUUUAACCGUUCAAACUGCAGGUUUGAGAGUGAUUUUGGGUGCGAGAAAAUCUUUGUUACGUGAUUAGAUGUGUCAGCUCCAGGAAUGAAAUCUCACCCACCAGUCCCAGCUCUCCGUUCUGAGAGCGGGGACCAAAACCUCCCGCAUACACACCUAAAGAAGGACCAGUUUUCGCUGUCACCUCUCGGAUGCUUUUCAUGCGGCCGAGUUCUCAGUAAAGCUUUAGGGCACCAGCCCUGAGCUCUGCUGAAAGCCCAGCUAGCAACUUGGGUGCCACGGUGGGGAGCUGAACUCCUUUGAAAAUCUGGUGCUGAGCCCUGCUGUAAAAAGAGCCAGCUUUGCAAGGUUGCCCCAAAUGUACCCCAAAAGAGCCUACAGUCUAAAUAAAGAAAACAAAGCCGGAUCUAUACCUGCACAGCCGAACAGGACCUGGAAUAAUACAGGGAAGAGUGUUCAAAAACUAGGAAGGGGAGCGCACGCCCAUCACCGCUGUUCCCCUAGGUUACAGAGGAGGCUUUUUAGUCGUUACUUAAUUUGCAUUUGUUUGUUUUCCCAAGACUUCUACAGAGCGAAAGAAAUAGGUUUUAGUGGCUGUUUGGAAGAAUUGCAUGUUAAGGGCAAGGACCGCUCCCUAGAUAAUCCCUGCCUGUUAUUCAUCAUGCUGUAGAUUGUUAUUAGCCUGAUGGAAACUGUUUCUCAAUGGCUCUGCGUUCCUGGUGGGGACCCUGUAAACUAACGGGGCAUGGGGCUUGGCUGGUGAUUUCCUAAUAAACGCCAUGCGCAAAGACAGAGCAGAGAACGUUUUGGGGGUGGAGAAUGAGAACAAGUGCCUUGUAUGUGAUGAUUGAUACUGCCAGGCGGACAAUAAUUAUGAUUUACACACGAUUUCUUUAUUCUUGAGGGGAAAUCCCAGUUGCCAAGUAUGUUAACGAUGUAUGUAAUGGUGUGUUAACGGACACCAUUAGUUUGCUGGACAAAACUGAGACCUCUGCCAAAACAAACCUUCUCCAAUGGUACAUUUUAUGGAUCAGCAGAUUCUGCAAAUGCUUCGGAGUGAAACUGAAUGGUGGGGCACACGCUUCAGGAACGGCUGGCAGUUUCCUAACCGCAAGUUUAAAGGUAUCUGCUAGCAAUUAAAUGCACUUGAGCAUUUUCUUAAUUUCAGCAUCUUACCGUUUCUCUAUGAGGUGCAAUAAUUGCAGUCUGGAAAUAGUUUGUUUUAACAUUAUGACAGAAAUUAGUACAGAAAAUAGCCCCAGCUUGUGUUAAGUUCUGCGCCGGCAGACCCCUGGCUCGGGGUGAUUUCGGAGCACCAAGAGGUGCUUGGUGCCACAGCUUGGGGAAGCACUGGUGGCAGGGCUGGUGUCCUCCUGCACCAGUGGAGGCAGGGUGGCUCGGCACGUGCUGAAGGCGAGUCAAGGUGUCACGGGCUGGGGCAGGCAGAGUUAGAAACACAGAUACAGGUGUGUGCUCUCUGGGGGAGCUGCCUGCAGCUGGGCAAGAAGAAUCUGUGCUGCGGAGGCAUGCGAUAUUGCGCACAUGCCCAGGCUGCAGCGCUUUCCCUGGAAAAAGCUGAACACAUUUUGCAGUUCGAGUUCCUCCAUUUGAUGCAUGGUUCAUACAACAUUUUGUGGGCUGGGGGUUUUCUAUUUCCAACAAAACUGGUUUAAUUCAAACUGCGGGGACUUCUGCAGGAUCAGACGCUCAGGGCAGCAGAGGACAGAAACAUCCUCAGAGCGUUGUGUUGUAGUACUUCCACAGGGUUUGGAUCAAUCGGCAGAUGCGAGCUUCCUGCACUCUCAGAAACCUCCAACAUUUUUUCCUAAAGGCCAAACCAUGCAAUCCAUUCACUCCAGAGCAGAACUUCUAGACUCUCCCUGUACUUGUUUCUGCUCGGCCUUUUGGAAUAGAUGUGCUCGGUAAAGCUCAUUAAAGCAGUUUAUUGCCUCAGUUAUGAGUCUUCCUGUAUUAAUACAAGAAGUUUGGAGCACAAAUAUGGGUUAAAUAAAUGGCUGACAAGGGUAGAGUGAUCCAGGAAUGAUGCUGGUUCUUCCUUUGAAAAGUUUCCAUUCAUCUCAGACACGAUAGCCUAAUCUUUGACUGAGACAAGAGUUUUACCUGGAUAGUUUCCAGUCAUGUUAAUGGGAGCUGUGAAAACCCAGUGCAUAUCAGCAGAAGAAGUGGCCCCUUUUUCAAAGGAAUGGUUUUGGUUGUUUCUUCAUGCAUUACAAUAACCAGCCACCAGACUUAAUUGCUUUUUGUACCACUUUCCCUCCCCUCCUCGUAUCUUUAUCUCCUCAUGCCAUAAAAAUACUGCACUUUAAAAUGAAAUCAAGGAGACAGAAAACAGAAGAGCCACGUUUUGCAUGAAAGAAGAAACACAUGUUAGGAAUAAAGACUCAAAACGGGCAAACAUAUUGAAGACAUACAUGCCUUCCCCUCCCUGUUUUGCACCCUCGUAGGCCAGCAGGCGUGAAGCUGCCCUCGUGCCUCGACAUGCUGCGAGGGGACUGAGCUAUGGCUGUGGCAGUGAGCAGCCAUCGUCCCCAGCGAGGGGCCUGCCAUCAUCCCCAGAGAAGGGCCUGCUGGGCCCGGCACCAAGUGGGGAGGUUCGCUGGUGGGUGAGGAUGGGAGCAAGUUGUGGUGCUUUUCUUGGGGCCGAGAGCACUGCUGGCACAAGCAGGUGAAAUUCCUCAGACAGAGCCAGAGAUGGCCCGGGAUGUUUGUGAAGGGGGUAGUUUGUUCGCAGUGCUGCCGGGGAAGGACAGAGAGGCCUGGGUUAAUCAUGUUCUGCAGUGAUCCUGCUUUGGGCACCCAGUGUAUGCUUGCACUGAAAUCAGACCCGGGUCAACUUCAAGCAACCCAGCCCAGGUAUUCCAGCAUGGAUUAUGCAACUUUCCCAUGGAAAUGCUCAGCUGACUCGCUUACAAACAUCUCCAUACUGCUGCCCUCACCUGAGCUGGGGUUUUGAGCUGCUGGGGUUGUGCCCGUGCUGUCCAGCAGUGAUGCUAGUGCAGGCAGAGCUGGAGAACAAAGGGCUCUGGGGGAGCCUGACUCCACCUGGGCCUUCUCCUUCUUUUCUUCCUUGC